ensembl:lncRNA
UCUAUAUGCAAACAAAUGAGAAGUUGAGUUUUGAGAGGGGAUGGGUCUGCGUGAGCAUCGAAUUGCUGCUCGCCUUCAGCACCAGGCUCCUUGCAAACUGCCUUAAAGCUACCCAUAAAAUCCCUGCCAAGAAGAACGUGCUCGUCACUGCACGGGAUGAAAUGCAGACGAGCAGAAGACGGGCAGCGGCCGCUCCAGUUACAGGGAUACAUACAUGCAAGCCUGUUGUACACAGCAAUCCAUUUCCAUUUGAAGGAUGUAACCCUGCCACAUGGAGGGCACUGGUCAUUGCAGCUCAGCCCGAAUCCCUCUUGCAUGUUUCUUGGAGGAACCUGGCUAGGAAGAACCAAGACGAGGUUAGUUCAAACUACCUGUGAUAAGAUCUCUUUCUUUA